UACGGAGGGUGCGAGCGUUGUUCGGAAUCACUGGGCGUAAAGGGCGUGUAGGCGGUCCGCUAAGUCUGAUGUGAAAGCCCGGGGCUCACCCCCAGAAGGGCAUUGGAAACUGGCGGACUCGAGUCCCGGAGAGGAAGGUGGAAUUCCUGGUGUAGCGGUGAAAUGCGUAGAUAUCAGGAGGAAUACCGGUGGCGAAGGCGGCCUUCUGGACGGUGACUGACGCUGAGACGCGAAAGCGUGGGGAGCAAACAGG
rnacentral:rRNA from 1 species